rnacentral:rRNA from 1 species
CGGGGAAUAUUGCACAAUGGGCGGAAGCCUGAUGCAGCGACGCCGCGUGGGGGAUGACGGCCUUCGGGUUGUAAACCUCUUUCAGUGCAGAACAAGGCUCUUUGUGGGUUGAGGGUAUGCGCAGAAGAAGCGCCGGCUAACUACGUGCCAGCAGCCGCGGCAAUACGUAGAGCGCGAGCGUUGUCCGGAUUUAUUGGGCGUAAAGAGCUCGUAGGCGGUUUGUCGCGUCUGCUGUGAAAUCCUCUGGCUUAACUGGGGGCGUGCAGUGGGUACGGGCAGACUGGAGUGAGGUAGGGGAGACUGGAAUUCCUGGUGUAGCGGUGGAAUGCGCAGAUAUCAGGAGGAACACCGGUGGCGAAGGCGGGUCUCUGGGCCGUUACUGACGCCGAGGAGCGAAAGCAUGGGGAGCGAACAG